rnacentral:rRNA from 1 species
GGUGCUCGAGUGGCGAACGGGUGAGUAACACGUAGGUGAUCUGCCUUUCACUUCGGGAUAAGCUUGGGAAACUGGGUCUAAUACCGGAUAUUCACGGCACCGUGGUUGGUGUGGUGGAAAGCUUUUGCGGUGGGAGAUGAGCUUGCGGCCUAUCAGCUUGUUGGUGGGGUAAUGGCCUACCAAGGCGGCGACGGGUAGCCGGCCUGAGAGGGUGUGCGGCCACAUUGGGACUGAGAUACGGCCCAGACUCCUACGGGAGGCAGCAGUGGGGAAUUUUGCACAAUGGGCGGAAGCCUGAUGCAGCGACGCCGUGUGGGGGAUGAAGGCCUUCGGGUUGUAAACUCCUUUCGUCAGGGACGAAGUUUGUUUGACGGUACCUGGAUAAGAAGCACCGGCUAACUACGUGCCAGCAGCCGCGGUAAUACGUAGGGUGCGAGCGUUGUCCGGAUUUACUGGGCGUAAAGGGCUCGUAGGUGGUGUGUUGCGUCGUCUGUGUAAUCCAGGGGCUUAACUUUUGGUUGGCAGGCGAUACGGGCAUUGCUUGAGUGCUGUAGGGGAGACUGGAAUUCCUGGUGUAGCGGUGAAAUGCGCAGAUAUCAGGAGGAACACCGAUGGCGAAGGCAGGUCUCUGGGCAGUUACUGACGCUGAGGAGCGAGAGCAUGGGUAGCGAACAGGAUUAGAUACCCUGGUAGUCUAUGCUGUAAACGGUGGGCGCUAGGUGUGAGCCUCUUCCACGGGGUUUGUGCCGUAGCUAACGCUUUAAGCGCCCCGCCUGGGGAGUACGGCCGCAAGGCUAAAACUCAAAGGAAUUGACGGGGGCCCGCACAAGCGGCGGAGCAUGUGGAUUAAUUCGAU